UCACCCUGAACGAGGAUCUUCUCCUUGGUUCCUUCGUGUCCACAAUUCCCACAAUUGUCCCUCGAAAUGCUGACCUGAAAUUUGUCUGGAGCUUUGCUGCUGCUAGUCUCCAAGCAAAAGCAAAUGGGAGGCCAUGGCCUAAGAAGUGGAUUAUAUCAGGCUCUACAGCUGCAGGCAGCCUAUCAUGGAAUGGACAAGUUGCAGGAUUUGAGGGGUGGCUCCAAGGAAGGAGGAGAUGCCUUUUUACAGGGAGCCCCAGGGGAAACACGAGGAGGAUGUGGACAAGUUACUGCUGGGUCUCACAAACAGGAGAGGAACGUGGGAAGUGUUUGUGUCUCAGAGAUUGCAGUGAAUGAGAAUCUGAGUUCCUGCUGAGACAGUGCCAUUGAUCUCCUGAUUUGGACACAGCUCUGUAAUUCCUUUAAAUUUAAACUGAGUGACACAGCCCGAGGCUGAGCUGGGAUUCAGCUGCACCCUUCUCUGAGCAGGAGUUUGGAAAGCAAGGGAGUCCUUUCUGCCCCUCCUGACUCAAAGGGGGAAAAUUACAAAAUGACUGCUCCAGUGAGUCCAACAAGGACAAGGAAGAGAAUGUGAACAAGCCCUGGGAGACAGAGCAUUGGCUGAAAUUGCCCUGUCAGUGCAUGUGCAUGACACACAACUUCAGCAUCACUGAGCUCCUGGGCAAGCCCUCAAAAGUCAUCAGCUCAACAAAUGAAACCUGAGAAAAUGGAGCUGCCAACUUAUUUCCAGGUUACUGUGGAGGCUGAAGAGAGAGAGAGACCCAACCCCCUGCAGCAAAUGGACAUUUUAUUCUGUGGGACUGCUAAAAGGAGAGAACAGGAGGAGUUCUGGACCAAGGUUGUUUCAACUCACUCAAAUGGCAGUGAGAAUUUUUGCACACUGUUCUGGCCAGCAGGAGCCUGGCUUACCAAGGUGAAGCCUUCCAUGAGAAAGCACACAAAUAUCUGUGCUGCAGCACGAAGCCAACACAAGUCUGUGUUAUUUUCAGAAGGCAUUCUCCAAACCAAGCAAUUUACCUCAGAUUUUUGGCCCCAAGAUGACUCCAUUUUACAGAAGUUAAAAAGAAGCACGUUUACAGAUCCAGCCUUGGAAACCUUCAGAUUCCCAAACAUCAAAUGGCCUCUGACUCAGUGGGUUUUCUGCAGAUGGAGCACAGAGGAUGGUCUGCAUUCAUUGGAGAUCACAUCUCAGGCAGCCUAAAUGUGAUCACAGAGCAGUGACACAGCAGCAGCCCCACGAGCAGCUUUCUUGCUUUGCAGAGUCCUGACCAUCUUGGCCACGCUCAUUUCCCCACUGGAAGAGCUGCCUGCUCCUGAGGGCAGCCUUCAUUAAAAAGGAUCUUCUGCUUCCUUGUGUUCAGCUCUCAUCUCUCGCAACAUCCUCAACCAUAAAAGCCCGAAAGCGCCGGUGUUCCCUGAGUGAGUUCAGUGCCCUGGGGAGAGGCAGAGAAAUCCUUCACCCGCUGUGCUGGGCUGGGGUUAAUCACACACGGCAUUUGGGGCUUUCUUCUCUUCUCGGUGCUUUGCCGAACCGCAGCAGCGUCAAAUGGUAAGUUCAGAUCCAUGUUCCCGAUCGCUGUGGCAUUUGGGAUGGAAUUGCAUCCUUUCCCGCUGCACUCAUUAUCCCGCUUACAGCUUGGAGGGGGAGGAAGCUCCCCCUGUCUCGCACACAGGGAGGGAGCAGCAAAGCCCCUCGAUGCCAAAAUGAGAAUCAGAUGGUCUGUUCUGUGUUUGGAUCGCAGAUUAAAUCUCUGCUUGCCGGGACAGGGAUGCCUGGAGCGCCUGCAGACUCCAUGGGGCGGGUACAGCUGCUCUUUGCUGCCUGCUCCCAUCUCCAGUGCCUGGCUCUGCUGUCCUGGAGCAGUGAAUUGUUCCUCUGUCCCUCCCACAGCCUGCUCCCACUUGUCUUUGGGAUGGAAAGAGCUGCCUCGGGGCUAGAGGAACUUUAAAGGGAUACCAUGAGCUCUCAGAGCCUUGCAGAUUUAUGGGGUUGUUGCUGGACAUCAGAAGUCUGGGAACUUAAUGGAAUUUGCCUCAGGGCUG